rnacentral:lncRNA from 1 species
CUCAAGUGCUGCAGCGCGGGCUGUGCCACCUUCUGCUCUCUGCCCAAUGGCCAACUGGCUGAGUGAUUCGAAGAAAGUGAGGAAUCCUCCCUGGACACUGUAUCGCCCUUCGUCGUCUUUCAGUCAAUCUCUUCCACUCUAAGGAUUGAGUGAGCGCGAGCUGGGGACUCUCUCAAAGAUGCCAGCACAGGCUGGGAAGGUUUGUAAUACGGUGACCCAAGACACCGAUCAGCAGGGAGGUGAUAAGGAGGGUUCCUGCCCCCAGGUGAACAUUAACUUUCCCCAGCUCGGCCUCUGUCGGGACCAGUGCCAGGUGGACAGCCAGUGUCCUGGCCAGAUGAAAUGCUGCCGCAAUGGCUGUGGGAAGGUGUCCUGUGUCACUCCCAAUUUCUGAGCUCCAGCCACCACCAGGCUGAGCAGUGAGGAGAGAAAGUUUCUGCCUGGCCCUGCAUCUGGUUCCAGCCCACCUGCCCUCCCCUUUUUCGGGACUCUGUAUUCCCUCUUGGGCUGACCACAGCUUCUCCCUUUCCCAACCAAUAAAGUAACCACUU